AAUUAUUAUUUUUUCUCUAAUUUCAACUGUUUUACUUUUAUCAGAUUGUGAAUUUUGUUUUUAGUGUUUUCCACCACUUCCACCGCUUUCUACCAUGCAAAGAAAUCAUAUUCAUCUUUUUUAUUUCCUACAGUUUUGAUCUUAUCACAUUCUGACUUUGUUUUAUAGGAUUCACCGUUUUCACCGCUUGCCGCUUCGUUCCCUACUAUAAAUAGAGUGCUCCCGUUACAACAUUCACAAAUCUGUUUCUUUGGGUUCUAAAUUUGACCCUCAGCUCUCCAGUUUCUCGGGUAUGUCAUUUCAUGCUCAUUUUUUCCUUUCUUAUAUUCAUUAUUCUGAACUAAAUAUUUCUGACUAUAUCUUCAGUUAUUUAUUUAUAUGUAAUAAUUAAUUGUUAGAAAUAAAUAAAAAAAUAGUCAAACGAAUGAACAACAAUAAAAAGUUACAUUAAUAUUUAGAAUAAGAAAUCUAAAUUUAGUUGUGAAUUUCGGAAUCCACUAGGUAUACUUCAGUUUGUAUUGUGCUCGGUUAACUAUAAAUUUUUCUAUGCUUUAAUGAAAUAGUACACAUUCAUCUUAAAAAAAAUUGAAUUACAAACUAAAA